rnacentral:rRNA from 1 species
CCUACGGGAGGCAGCAGUGAGGAAUAUUGGUCAAUGGACGCAGGGCUGAACCAGCCAUGCCGCGUGCAGGAUGACGGCCCUAUGAGUUGUAAACUGCUUUUGUACGGGGGUAAAGGGAGCCACGCGUGUCGUUCUGCGAGUACCUGACGAAUAAGCAUCGGCUAACUCCGUGCCAGCAGCCGCGGUAAUACGGAGGAUGCGAGCGUUAUCCGGAUUUAUUGGGUUUAAAGGGUGCGCAGGCGGAAUGUCAAGUCAGAGGUAAAAUUUCGGGGCUCAACCCCGUCGUGCCGUUGAAACUGGCGUUCUUGAGUGAGCGAGAAGUAUGCGGAAUGCGUGGUGUAGCGGUGAAAUGCAUAGAUAUCACGCAGAACUCCGAUUGCGAAGGCAGCAUACCGGCGCUCAACUGACGCUCAUGCACGAAAGCGUGGGUAUCGAACAGGAUUAGAUACCCUUGUAGUC